UGACAUCAAAUUUGCUACAAAUGACAAAGCACUACAAACUACAGUUGAGCACCGUUGUGUCAAACUCUGAUAACUCGAUAUCUCGGUUGUCUCGAUAUAACAUCUCGGUCCGGCAAAAUCCUCCAUAA